ensembl:lncRNA
UUGAUUCUAAGCAAUGUUGUGCUACUGUUUUUAUUGACUUAGCCAAAGCUUUUGAUACGGUAGACCAGUGGUUCCCAAACCUUUCAUAGUCCCGUACCCCUUAACAUCCAACCUCCAGCUGUGUACCCCCUCUAGCACCAGGGUCAGCUGUGUACCCCCUCUAGCAUCAAUCAAAUUUAGAAUAAAGCUGUAACGUAACAAAAUGUGGGGGAAAAAGUCGAGGGGUCUGAAUACUCUCGGAAUGUACUGUAAUAUCUCGAGGAGAGGAGCGCGUGUGAAUAAUGUCAGAGAGAGGAGUGUUUAAUACAACAGGUAAGCUAACGCACACAAAGCAGGAAGACGAUCGGCUUCUAAAUCAUUUGCAGCAGAAAAAAAACAUUUUCGUCCUAAAGUUCUUUCUGGAAUGCUGCCCUCUAAUUUGGAACUCUCUUUGUUAUUGGUCUAUUCAUUUAUACCGUCUAGUGAUGUCACCUGGCAAGUCAAAACUCCACCCAUACAAAACCUGCUAAUUAGAAGGUCCUGGGUAACGUUACAUACCCUAUGAAAGUCUUCUUCCUGGUUCAAGUCCCGUACUGUUUUUGAAUGGGCUUCAAGCUUAUAUCAUCAAAUUCAUGAAAAUUGGGUAAUUGAAGACACAUUAAAUUAUAUUAUUUUCAUGGAUUCGUUUACCUUGACCUUUUACAAAAAAAACAAAAAAAAAUCGAAAACCUUGAUGAAAGGUAUCAGAAGUAAAUUAAUCCCAGAAUCUACAAAUACACUACAUGGGGCAUUGUCAUGCUGCAACAGGAAAGGGCCUUCCCCAAACUGUUACCACAAAGUUGGAAGUACAGAAUCGUCUAGAAUGUCAUUGUAUGCUGUAGCAUUAAGGUUUCUGUUCACUGGAACUAAGGGGCUUAGCCCGAAUCAUGAAAAACAGCCCCAGACCAUUAUUUCUCCUUCCGCAAACUUUACGGUUGGCACUAUGCAUUUGGGCGGGUAGCGUUCUCCUGGAUUCGUCCGUCAGACUGCCAGAUGGUGAAGUGGGAUUCAUCAAAUCCAGAGAAUGUUUCCAUUGCUCCAGAGUUCAAUGGCGACAAGCUUUACACCACUCCAACCGAAGCUUGGCAUUGCGCAUGGUUGAUCUUAGGCUUGUGUGCGGCUGCUCGGCCAUGGAAACCCAUUUUAUGAAACUCCUGACCAACAGUUCUUGUGCUGACGUUGCUUCCAGAGGCAGUUUGAAACUAGGUAGUGAGUGCUCCAACAGAGCACAGACGGUUUUUACACGCUUCAGCACUCGGCGG